rnacentral:lncRNA from 1 species
GCGGAAAGAAAGUCUAAAAUUUUCGUUUAAAAAUAAAAUAUAAAUAAAAAUAAAAUACCAAAACUGAAAAACUGUUUGAGACAAUUAUCAGUUGAGAACUUAUGAUUAUACAUCACUAUAUGAAACUGAUAAAUUGAUUGCUCCCGUGCUCCAGUGGCAAAUAUAUCACGCAUAUUUACGACGUGGCGAAAAUGGAUCUAAAGUAAUUCAUUGAUACAUU